ACGUGCCUACGGGGGGCAGCAGUAGGGAAUCUUCCACAAUGGACGAAAGUCUGAUGGAGCAACGCCGCGUGAGUGAAGAAGGGUUUCGGCUCGUAAAGCUCUGUUGGUAGUGAAGAAAGAUAGAGGUAGUAACUAGCCUUUAUUUGACGGUAAUUACUUAGAAAGUCACGGCUAACUACCUGCCAGCAGCCGCGGUAAUACGUAGGUGGCAAGCGUUGUCCGGAUUUAUUGGGCGUAAAGCGAGUGCAGGCGGUUCAAUUAGUCU
rnacentral:rRNA from 1 species